GAUGAACGCUGGCGGCGUGCUUAACACAUGCAAGUCGAACGGAAAGGCCCAAGCUUGCUUGGGUACUCGAGUGGCGAACGGGUGAGUAACACGUGGGUGAUCUGCCCUGCACUUCGGGAUAAGCCUGGGAAACUGGGUCUAAUACCGGAUAGGACGAUGGUUUGGAUGCCAUUGUGGAAAGUUUUUUCGGUGUGGGAUGAGCUCGCGGCCUAUCAGCUUGUUGGUGGGGUAAUGGCCUACCAAGGCGUCGACGGGUAGCCGGCCUGAGAGGGUGUACGGCCACAUUGGGACUGGGAUACGGCCCAGACUGCGACGGGAGGCAGCAGUGGGGAAUAUUGCACAAUGGGCGCAAGCCUGAUGCAGCGACGCCGCGUGGGGGAUGACGGCCUUCGGGUUGUAGACUCCUUUCACUAGGGACGAAGCGUUUUUGUGACGGUACCUGGAGAAGAAGCACCGGCUAACUACGUG
rnacentral:rRNA from 1 species